AGGGAAUCUUCCGCAAUGGACGAAAGUCUGACGGAGCAACGCCGCGUGAGCGAUGAAGGUUUUCGGAUCGUAAAGCUCUGUUGCCAGGGAAGAACGUCCGUUAGAGUAACUGCUAACGGAGUGACGGUACCUGAGAAGAAAGCCCCGGCUAACUACGUGCCAGCAGCCGCGGUAAUACGUAGGGGGCGAGCGUUGUCCGGAAUUAUUGGGCGUAAAGCGCGCGCAGGCGGCUGUUUAAGUCUGGUGUUUAAUCCUGGGGCUCAACCCCGGGUCGCACUGGAAACUGGGAGGCUUGAGUGCAGAAGAGGAGAGUGGAAUUCCACGUGUAGCGGUGAAAUGCGUAGAGAUGUGGAGGAACACCAGUGGCGAAGGCGGUUCUCUGGUCUGUAACUGACGCUGAGGCGCGAAAGCGUGGGGAGCAAAC
rnacentral:rRNA from 1 species